rnacentral:rRNA from 1 species
GAUCAUGGCUCAGGAUGAACGCUGGCGGCGUGCCUAACACAUGCAAGUCGAACGGGGUUAAGGAAAGUUUCGGAUGGACCUUAACUAGUGGCGGACGGGUGAGUAACGCGUGGAUAACCUGCCUCACACAGGGGGAUAGCAGCUGGAAACGGCUGGUAAUACCGCAUAAGACCACAGUGCCGCAUGGCACAGGGGUAAAAGAUUUAUCGGUGUGAGAUGGAUCCGCGUCUGAUUAGCCAGUUGGCGGGUAACGGCCCACCAAAGCGACGAUCAGUAGCCGGCCUGAGAGGGUGAACGGCCACAUUGGGACUGAGACACGGCCCAAACUCCUACGGGAGGCAGCAGUGGGGAAUAUUGCACAAUGGGCGCAAGCCUGAUGCAGCAACGCCCGCGUGAGUGAAGAAGUAUUUCGGUAUGUAAAGCUCUAUCGGCAGGGAAGAAAGGCCCAUUAAGGGAGAUGACGGUACCUGACUAAGAAGCCCCGGCUAACUACGUGCCAGCCGCCGC